rnacentral:rRNA from 1 species
GUACGCUGGCGGCACGCCUAACACAUGCAAGUCGAACGCAGUAGCAAUACUGAGUGGCAAACGGGUGAGUAUAAUGUGGGAAUCUGCCUUUUGGUUUGGAAUAACACGGGGAAACUUGUGCUAAUACCAAAUAAGCCCUUACGGGGAAAGUUUUAACGCCGAAAGAUGAGCCUGCACUUGAUUAGCUAGUUGGUAAGGUAAAGGCUUACCAAGGCAACGAUCAAUAGCUGUUCUUAGAGGAAGACCAGCCACAUUGGGACUGAGACACGGCCCAGACUCCUACGGGAGGCAGCAGUGGGGAAUCUUGCACAAUGGGGGAAACCCUGAUGCAGCGAUGCCGCGUGAGUGAAGAAGGCCUUUGGGUUGUAAAACUCUUUCGUCGGGGAAGAAAAUGACUGUACCCGAAUAAGAAGGUCCGGCUAACUUCGUGCCAGCAGCCGCGGUAAUACGAAGGGACCUAGCGUAGUUCGGAAUUACUGGGCUUAAAGAGCUCGUAGGUGGUUAAAAAAGUUGAUGGUGAAAUCCCAAGGCUCAACCUUGGAACUGCCAUCAAAACUUUUUAGCUAGAGUGUGAUAGAGGUAAGUGGAAUUUCUAGUGUAGAGGUGAAAUUCGUAGAUAUUAGAAAGAACACCAAAUGCGAAGGCAACUUACUGGGUCACUACUGACACUGAGGAGCGAAAGCAUGGGUAGCGAAGAGGAUUAGAUACCCUCGUAGUCCAUGCCGUAAACGAUGUGUGCUAGACGUUGGAAAUAUAUUUUUCAGUGUCGCAGC